UUCCAACGUUAAUCGGGGCAGGGUGAGUCGACCCCUAAGGCGAGGCCGAAAGGCGUAGUCGAUGGGAAACAGGUUAAUAUUCCUGUACUUGUGUUACUGCGAAGGGGGGACGGAGAAGGCUAUGUUGGCCGGGCGACGGUUGUCCCGGUUUAAGCGUGUAGGCUGGUUUUCCAGGCAAAUCUGGAAAAUCAAGGCUGAGGCGUGAUGACGAGGCACUACGGUGCUGAGGCAACAAAUGCCCUGCUUCCAGGAAAAGCCUCUAAGCAUCAGGUAACAUCAAAUCGUACCCCAAACCGACACAGGUGGUCAGGUAGAGAAUACCAAGGCGCUUGAGAGAACUCGGGUGAAGGAACUAGGCAAAAUGGUGCCGUAACUUCGGGAGAAGGCACGCUGAUAUGUAGGUGAGGUCCCUCGCGGAUGGAGCUGAAAUCAGUCGAAGAUACCAGCUGGCUGCAACUGUUUAUUAAAAACACAGCACUGUGCAAACACGAAAGUGGACGUAUACGGUGUGACGCCUGCCCGGUGCCGGAAGGUUAAUUGAUGGGGUUAGCGCAAGCGAAGCUCUUGAUCGAAGCCACGGUAAACGGCGGCCGUAACAAUAACGGUCCUAAGGUAGCGAAAUUCCUUGUCGGGUAAGUUCCGACCUGCACGAAUGGCGUAAUGAUGGCCAGGCUGUCUCCACCCGAGACUCAGUGAAAUUGAACUCGCUGUGAAGAUGCAGUGUACCCGCGGCAAGACGGAAAGACCCCGUGAACCUUUACUAUAGCUUGACACUGAACAUUGAGCCUUGAUGUGUAGGAUAGGUGGGAGGCUUUGAAGUGUGGACGCCAGUCUGCAUGGAGCCGACCUUGAAAUACCACCCUUUAAUGUUUGAUGUUCUAACGUUGACCCGUAAUCCGGGUUGCGGACAGUGUCUGGUGGGUAGUUUGACUGGGGCGGUCUCCUCCUAAAGAGUAACGGAGGAGCACGAAGGUUGGCUAAUCCUGGUCGGACAUCAGGAGGUUAGUGCAAUGGCAUAAGCCAGCUUGACUGCGAGCGUGACGGCGCGAGCAGGUGCGAAAGCAGGUCAUAGUGAUCCGGUGGUUCUGAAUGGAAGGGCCAUCGCUCAACGGAUAAAAGGUACUCCGGGAUAACAGGCUGAUACCGCCCAAGAGUUCAUAUCGACGGCGGUGUUUGGCACCUCGAUGUCGGCUCAUCACAUCCUGGGGCUGAAGUAGGUCCCAAGGGUAUGGCUGUUCGCCAUUUAAAGUGGUACGCGAGCUGGGUUUAGAACGUCGUGAGACAGUUCGGUCCCUAUCUGCCGUGGGCGCUGGAGAACUGGGGGGGGCUGCUCCUAGUACGAGAGGACCGGAGUGGACGCAUCACUGGUGUUCGGGUUGUCAUGCCAAUGGCACUGCCCGGUAGCUAAAUGCGGAAGAGAUAAGUGCUGAAAGCAUCUAAGCACGAAACUUGCCCCGAGAUGAGUUCUCCCUGACCCUUUAAGGGUCCUGAAGGAACGUUGAAGACGACGACGUUGAUAGGCCGGGUGUGUAAGCGCAGCGAUGCGUUGAGCUAACCGGUACUAAUGAACCGUGAGGCUUAACC
rnacentral:rRNA from 1 species